CAAAUUCCGUUGCAACUCGAGUUCGUAUUGUAGUACUAUGUAAACAUCGGUGCAGACUGCAGAGUGCAGACUGCAGAGGUUACUGGUUAACCGAAUCAUACUGUGACCGAAUGCUACAAAAUAACAGACAUGGAUCAAGCCCUGACAGAUGAAGAGUUGCUGCGGAUUCUAGAUGAUAGUGACUUCAGAAUGAGAUUCUAGAUGAGGUUGAGGCUUCGGACCUGGAACGUGAUAAUGAGAAUGAUACUGCUGUAGAUGAUGGAGGCAACCAACUACAACCACAACAACAAACUCGGCCUAUGAAAUGAAAGGUGGCAUUGAUAACAUUGGACGAUACGAACAAAGAUGUGCGACUCACCAUCACCACACCAGAUCAGCAAGGAACCUUGACAUCCCGAGAUGUAGACUUUCAAGGACUCAGGGAUCAUUUCCAAUGUUGGCGCUGAAGCUCUUCAAUCUUCUGCCUGAGGAGAUAAGAAGGCUGGGGUCUUCUGACUUCAAGAGAAGGAUGAGAUGGAGGCUGACAUCCAAGCCACUGUACUCUGUGGAAGAGUUCAUACAUGACGAGGGGACUGAGGCUGUCCACUGAUUAAAAAUAAGGCCUAAGCAACAUUGACACAGCCUAUCCAGCGACAACUGGUCAACGGCAACCUAGCGGUAAUAGGUAAUAACUUUGCAGGAUGGAUAACAAGGAGCCAGAAAUCACAGAUUUACCAGCGAGCUCAGAGGAGCCAAAUAGACUUUGAAAGAUUUUUUUAAUAAAUCAAUUUUGACUUUUUUUGCUGAGCAAACAAAUCUUUACUCUGUGCAACAAAACAAUCAUAAUUCUGUAAAUACUUCUGUCGCUGAAUUGUUAAAAUAUACUGGAAUUGAAAUAAUCAUGGGUACUUUCAAGCUAGGCUCAGGCUAGAAUGUAUUGGAGUAGGGAUGGGAAAAUAGAUGUUAUUGCAGAUGCUCUACCCCGAGACAGGUAUUUUCAAUCGAGGCAGAAUAUCCAUUUUGCUGACAAUACCUUUCCAAAACCAGAUGAUAAGCUCUGGAAAGUGAGACCCCUUAUUGAGUCAGUAAAAAAAAGUGCUUAGAAUUACCUUAUUAUCUGGCUGUCGAUGAACAAAUGAUCCCCUUUGAAAGAAUAUGUCCUUUUAGACAAUAUGUCCCAUCAAAGCCAAACCCUCUAGGGCUUAAAAACUUUGUCUUAGCAGCUCCAGCCAGAUGGGUUGCUUUUGGAUUUUGUAAUUUAUGUUGGGAAGGGACUGUACUGUAUGUGAUGCUGACCUCAAAGAAUUAGGCUUGGGUGCAUCAGUGGUCAAAAUGCUAGCAGAAACCAUACCAAAUACUGGUUCACAUGUCCUGUACACAAACCGAUUUUUUACCAGUGUAAAACUCGCAGAAUGCAUGCUCCAAAAAAUAUUUCCAUAACUGGUACAGUCAUGAGAAACAGAUUAGCUGGAGCUCAAAUAAAAUUAAAAGAGGAUAAAUCUCUUAAAAGAGGAGAGUGGUGUGAGCUGGCUAGGGAAGAUGGCAAAGUAGGUGUAGUGUCUUGGAAAGACAACAAAGCUGUAACAUUUCUUUCCACUUGUGUUGGAUCUGAACCAGCUACCACCUGCAAAAGAUGGUCUAAGAAAGCGAAAGCAAAAAUUUACUGGUUGCAAAUCAAGGUGCAGGGUACAGUGUGUAAAAUGCAAAUUGUAUUUGUGUAUCAUGGGGAACAAUUGCUUCAAGAAAUAUCACACGAAAUAAAAUUUUCCAUUAUUCUAAUUCUCAUUUAUUGCUUUGAUUUUGUAUAAUAAUUAUAAUCAUUUUUCCAACUCUAGAAUUAAGUUAUUUUAUCUGAUUUUAGAAUAGAACUAGCGUAUAAGUUUGUUCAAAAAACUAUUGAUUCAAGUAAUAAAAUUAAUAUUUAAUUUGGAUUA